CGCUCCCCUUCCCCGUCGAUCUCCUCCGCUGCCCACAUGCCGCCGCACCCGCCGCUAAUCCCUAGCCCUGCCCACAAGCCUAAGCCAUAGCCCCUGCUCUGCGUGCUCCGCUUCCUCCGUGUGGCAGCUGUGGCGGCCGUUGUUUCCCUCUCCAUCCUCUCUGGCAGCGCCGUUGGAGCAGCAUCGACGGCGGCCGUAGAGCAGCCCUCGGACAACCAUGCUGUCAACGGCGGCAGAUCCCUUUCAGUUAAGGCAGAGAAAGUGUAGGGAGCAUCUUGCAGGGGACAGUUCUUUUGUUGCAAAUUCGGAGGGAGCUAAAUACUUGGAGUUGCGGCCUUCCUGGGGAAUGCUCAUGGCCUCACCUUAUAAGUCAGAGAUGAGGAAACUGUGUUUGGAUGUGAGGUUCCAACUGCCUCGACGAUAAGAAGAACCAGACCUUCACAGCAACAGAAGAGGCUUGACCGGGGUAUUGCGGAGUUCGUGGUGAUGGCAGUCUCUCGAGAUCCUUCUUCUCCCCUGCUCACCGAGGUCCAGAUGUGAGAAGCUUCCCCCCUAUGUACCAACCUAGCAGGGGCUGGAUGUGGGGACAAGCUGCUGCAUAUGUUUGUGUAAUCACCUGCUGUUGGGAGAGGACCUGUCUCGACGCUUCAUCGCGUGUGUAGUUGAUCUAUGUAUAUGUAUAUCGUUAGUUCACUUUAUUGGAAGUAGAUUGCUGGUUUAGAAGUCGAAUGGCUAUGCUAUUCCCUGGUUGUGCCAAGAGCUCUCUCAUGUUACUCCGGCCAUUAGGUAUUGGUGCAUCGGUGUCCAGGUUGCUCGCAUGUGCGACUACUGCAGGACCCAUGAUGGUCAGACAGCAAUCAACCUCAAUCUUGUGCUGGUUGAUGAUAAGGUGCGAUUCUCCUAUAUAUAUUGUUUGGUGUUGUGAACCUUUCAGAGCAAGCGAGUUCAAUAGUGUUUCAGAUAACCAGGUGAACCCUUAGAGCAAUGCAAGCAAGCUCUAUUGUAUUCAAUUCUACUCUAUUUUAUUCGAUUCUGGUUUAGGAGGAUUGAAUUUAUUUUCCUCUGAUAGCUUGUCAAUUUUAAGUGAUUUCAGUAUCCCAAAAUUUGAAAGAAGAAAAUCGUAGCACUAGAGACAACUAUACAUACUGCAGCUUAUGUCAUGAGAUCAUAUCAUCACUCUACUUUUAUUCAUUCAGUUGAGUUGCUGCUGGAAGGAUAUACCUAGCCAGCCUACACCCUAGAGCAGUUCAAGUUCUUUUAUGCUGAAGUGAUGUACCUGACUGUAUUAAAUAAAAAUACUAACCUCAGCAGCGGUUCAUGCAUACAUCAUUGGUUUAAACUUGAGGGUUUCACAGCCUGCAGUUCAUGAUUUUGAAAGUGAUGGCAUCCUGACUGGGUACCAGUUGUAUUUUGAUUCUCCUAAGCUUUCAAUUGACAUUCUUUCUCAGGUAAAUAUAUGGACAAGAUGCAUAACAGCAGGCAAUGAACCGACUUCACUAAAUUGCACAUAUGGGAAACUGGGUGCUAUGUUUCCUCUUGCGAACCAUGCUGUCAAAAGGGUGCAAAAGCACAGGUGGCUGUUCUGGUUCCCAGCACAACCCAUGCACUCAGAAGAGGAUUAUAGACUACUUCAGUAAAAAUGUAGGAACAUUUGGCGGUGAUUACCGUGCUCUGCUCAGCAUGAGUAGGUUUGUGUGCUCUCUUCCCGCAGAACUUGCUGAACACUUGUUUCUUACGCUGUUUGAAGGCAAUUUUUAUCUGACCGAACAUUUGGUUUUGCUUGUAACACGUCCU